AACGGACGCUGACGGCGUGCUUAACACAUGCAAGUCGCACGAGAAAGUCCUUCGGGAUGAGUAGAGUGGCGCACGGGUGAGUAACACGUAGGUGACCUUCCAGUUUGAGUGGGAUAACCCGGAGAAAUUCGGGCUAAUACCGCAUAAGAACAACAAAGUUGGAAAUAGUUGUUGAAAUGAAUGCGUCUACUUGUAAGCAUUCGCUGACUGAUGGGCCUGCGGUACAUUAGCUAGUUGGUGGGGUAAUGGCCUACCAAGGCUUCGAUGUAUAGCGGAUCUGAGAGGAUGAUCCGCCACACUGGAACUGAGACACGGUCCAGACUCCUACGGGAGGCAGCAGUGGGGAAUCUUGCGCAAUGGGCGAAAGCCUGACGCAGCAACGCCGUGUGAGUGAGGAAGGCCUUCGGGUUGUAAAGCUCUGUCAGAUGGGAAAAACGGCGGUUAUUCGAAUAGGGUAAUCGAUUGAUGGUACCAUCAGAGGAAGCACCGGCAAACUUCGUGCCAGCAGCCGCGGUAA
rnacentral:rRNA from 1 species